AUGCAACGCUCCCGCGCCCCGCCCCCGCCGCCCCCCGCCCCCCGCCCCCGCCCCCGCCCCGCCGCCCAGGCCUGCGGAACAAAGCGCGGGGCCCGCGGCCCGGCGGGCAGGGCGGCCGCCAUGUUGGCGGGGGCGGCGAACAAAGGCGCGCGGCCCGAGCCCGAGGCCCCCCGCCCCGCGGCCCGCGGCCCGGCCGGCAGGGGGCGCUGUGCCGGCGCCGCCCGCGCCCGGACAAUGCGCCGCGGCCCGGCCGCCGCUCCCCCGCGCCCCGCCGCCCCGCCGCGCGCCCCGCCCGCGCCCCCUCCCCGCCCCGAGCGGCGCCCGCUCCCCCGCGGCCCGCGGGUCUCACCUGCCGGCCGCCUAGGCCGCCGUCCUCAGCCCGCGGGCCCCGCCGUCCCGCGCCGCACUCCCGCCCCGGCCCGACCGAGCCAGACGGCGCCGCCCCGCCCCCGCUCCGCUCCGCGGCCGCCGCCGCCCGCCCCCGGCCGCACGGCGCACGCGCACUGCGCCCGCCGACUGCGCCGGCCGCGCCGCCCGGCCCCGGCCCGACGGGCCGCACUGCGCAGGCGCCGCGGGCGGGGGGCGGGGCCCGCUGGGAGGGCGGGGCCUGGAGCUCGGCGGGGCGCGGCCCGAGCCCGGACUCGGUCCCGCGACGCUCACCUGGAGGCGGGGCGGGGCCCGGCGAGGCGGCGGGAAGAGGCCUCGGAGCCGGGCUGGCUGGCGGCGGGACGGGGCCUGGCGCGACCCAGCCCGCGGCGACGCAGGUUUAUGUUUUCAAAAAUCCCUUCACGUGGUUUUCCUGAGGUUGGUGGAAGGAACAAGUAUAAAUGGAGAAAAAGAAACUGGAGCCCAGAGGGCUGCAGGGGCUUCCCACCAGAGCCUCUUUUCCAACAUGAAGCUCAUCUUGUCCCCAUUUGUGGAUUGGUGAAGACCUCUUCCAUUGAUCCUGGAAUCACUGGUACUUUCUCCUUCCUCCUGAAUCAAAGGAAUAUCUAGCACCUCUUGAUGAAUCUAUUACAACAUCCUGUUUUCCUGUAUUUGUAACUCCCUCCCUAAAACAUCACUGAAAAUCAUUACUCUGAGUUGUAUGUGCUGCUUCUUCUUGGCCUUUUGGCUAAGGUCAAAUAUAGAAACUGUUCAUAUCAAUUUAAAUUUUAUUUUUUUCUAUUGCUUUCUGGGGCAUGGUGAUACAUGCAUUAAAGGAAAGAUGGCACUAAGAAGAAACCUAAAAUUGCAUUUGGAGGUUUUUUUUUAAUGGAAGAUAACAUCUUUUCUUGUAAUGUUUCAUUUCCAUGUGAUAAGAGUGCUGAUUGCUCUACAGUGGAAGGAUGAUUUUCUCUCUCAGGUCUGCACAAGUCAGCCUUGGUUUCUUGAUGACAAGUGCUUCCACUAAACUAGAUGUUUCUAGGUAGUUAAUUAUAAAGACUGUAUUUGAGAUUAAAACAAUUACUAUCGUGCCCACAUUCGGGAUGCUCUGAUCCUGUUGCUAAAAAUAAUCUAGCUUUUCACACCUGUCAGAAUGGCCAAAAUCCAGAAUACUGACAACAGGAACUUUCAUUUGUUGCUGGUGGGAAUGCAGACUGGUGGCAGCCACAUUGGAAGAGAGUGUGUUUCUUAUAAAAGUAAACAUCCACUUACUACAGGAUCCAGCAAUCAUGCUCCUUGGUAGUUAGUGAACUAGCUGAAAAUUUACAUCAAUGCAGAAGCCUGCACAUGAGUGUUUAUAGCAGCUUUGUUCAUAAUUGCCAAGUUUUGGAAGCGACCAAGACAUCCUUCGGGAGGUGGAUGGAUUAAUGAACCAUGGUCCAUCCAGACAAGGGAAUGUUACUCAGCGCUAUGAGAAAUGGGUGAUCAAGCCAUGAAAAGACAUAAGGAAACUCCAAUGUAUAUACUAAGUGAAAGAAGCUAGUCUGAACAGGAUGUGUACUUUAUGAUUUCAGCUCAAGAUGCUUUGGAAAAGGCAAAACUGUGGAGACAGUAAAGAGAUUAGAGGCUGGGGGUGGGGGAGAUGAGGGGUGGAGCACAGAGGCUUUUUAGGGAGUAAAACUACUGUGACACUGUAACGGUGGAUAUGCGUCAUUACUCAUUUGCCCAAACCCAUGGAAUAUACAGCACCCAGCGUGACCCUGAGGUGAGCCAUGCACCUAGGUGAUAUGACAGGUCCGUGCAGGAAAUAUCCCCAGUAACAAAUGCACCAUCUUCUGGCAAUGUUGAUGGUGGGGGGUAGUGGGAGGGGACAGAGAUAGCUCCAAAAAAUAAAGUCUGCUUAAGAAAUACUAAUAUAGUUUUUUACUCCAAUUAUUGUUGAUAUUUUAGCAUCACAAUACACAGAAGUCCCACAUUUCCUUCAAAAUAUUCAUGGCUGGGAUGCCUGGGAUGCCUGAGUGGCUCAGCGGUUGAGCAUCAUCUGCCUUGGGCUCAGGUCGUGAUCCCGGGGUCCUGGGAUCAAGUCCCACAUCAGGCUCCCCACAGGGAGCCUGCUUCUCCCUUUGCCUGUGUCUCUGCCUCCCUUCUGUGUUUCUCAUGAAUAAAUAAAUAAAAUCUUUAAAAAAAUGUGCAUCCCAUUUAAAAAAUACUUACACAUCACUAAAUCAAAAAAAUGCUCCAUUCCCAGACAUGCUUCCAGCAAAUGAAGCUUUGGCAGAUUGUUGAGUUUUGAAAGAGAACAAAGAGUGAUUGUCACAGGAGGAUGACAAGCAUUGAAGAUACCAGUUUCCAAAUAAAUGUCUACACUGUUUAAAUUACUUUUUCAUAUAUUUAAUAUUUUCACAACCUAAGAAAUGUUAAAAUCUUUAACAUCUUUUCUGUCUUUAAUUUCUAUUUAUGAGAAAAAGAUGAAACACAAAGGAGUAGAGCUCGAUUGGCUGACCAAAAUUGGCAAAUGUCGUGGGAGAAAACUUAGAACACAGAUAUGUGCUCCUGAGCUCUGGGGCCUCUCGGUGGAGAUGAACAGAUGUGCACCUGAUCCUGAGAGUCUGGCUCUCACCAGCAGCCUCAGUUCAGAAACCAUGUUUGGAGUCUGACUCUAGUUCAGGUACUGUGUGAGAUGGGGGUACAGAAACAUCUGCCACUUGCCCCUGCCCUGAGGUGCCCCUCCCAGACCCCACCCCGGCUCCUUGCCGCCACAUCCUUGCACCUCCCCCUUGGCUCCUCUGGUUUUGAGACUGAGCUCAGGUUGGCUGCUCAGGGAAGGGGGGCUGGUGACAGAGGAGUAUGUGCAUGACAAAUGCAGGAAUAGAACUUGCAUGUCCCCCAUUAGCAGUGACUGUGAGCUGAUCGAUAGUUCAACCUUUUCAAUUCCCCGCUUCAGGAUAUAAUCCUAAAGGGGCAGGGGUGCUAUGUGGGUUAACAAGACCAGAAUACACUUGUUUCAGGUUGCAGGCACGGGUAUAUCAGUAAAUCUGAAAAGUGAGUUUAUUAUGCUGUGUCUUCUCCAUGUUUUCCUGAACCAGCCGCAGCCAGGCCGGCUGAGGGAGCUGCACCUUGAUCUUUGGGAAAACUUGGGGAUUGAUGCCAUACCCAUGCUCCAAAACAGCUUUUUAGAAUAUUGAAUUAAUAUCUUGGCAUAGUCGUUGGCAAUGCUUAUAGUUAAGUGCUAAUCAUCACAUUGAUGAAGUAACACACUUAGUAAAAUAUGUCACUUGCAACUUAACUGCUAAACAAGUUGAGGUUUGUUCAAUCUAAAGGUGACUAGGACCAUGAGUCCCUGUCCCCCCGCACAAGUGAACUCAGUGAACAGCAUCCCCACAGGGGCAAACACCAGUGAGUGGGAAGGUAAAUACACAGAACUUUCCAGAGAGUUUCCAAGAAGGAAGAAGACAAAUGGUCUUUUUGACAUGCUUGGUAGGAUGAUAUCUCUCCUGAUAAGUUGAGUUUGAGAGCAGUGGAGAAGCUCAGAAAAAAAGUAAGGGAAAUUGGAAAAAGUUACACCACCUUCCACCUCCACUGUCUCCUGCCGCCCAGGGGUCCAAGUCUGUCUCUGGCAGGUGCCAGAGACCUACAAGAAGUCGCCAGAAUCCAGGGGCUCAAACAAACGAUGUGUAAAAACUCCUGAAGGCUACAUGGAAAGAUCCAUCCAUCCCUUACUACCCACAACUCUGAUGCCCACAGCUGUCUCCUGUGGGGUUCUCACUGGCAACACCCCUCAGAGAUCCUAUCUCAGACCUUCCGUUUCAGAGCAAUCUCAUGGCAGACAAAUGCCCCUUAAACUACUUCCUCUUGAUUUUGUCGCUGUGGUUCACACUCUUCGUGAUACCUCUUCAUACACUGCAAGUGGCAAACUUUUCCUUCAUCGUAGUUUCUUGUAUUUUUUAAAAUAUUUAAUUAUUUAUUUAUUUAUGGAGACACACAGAGAGAGGCAGAGACACAGGCAGAGGGAGAAGCAGGCUCCCUGCAGGGAUUUGAUGUGGGACUCAACCCCAGGACUCCGGGAUCAUGCCCUGAGCUGAAGGCAGAUGCUCAACCACUGAGCCAGCCAGGUGUCCCAGUUCUUACUUUUGAUGCUAAUACUGAUACUGUUAUCUGAACUAUCCACAUAGUGAAACACGUAGAGGAAAAGACAGAGAGAUCAGAUAAAUAAUUACAUAAAAUUCCUUAGGAAUAAAGAUUUUCAAUGUUAAGGAAAGGAGUACAGCUUUAUAAUCAGACUCAAAUAAAAACCAUAAAAAUUGGGGAUCCCUGGGUGGCGCAGCGGUUUGGCGCCUGCCUUUGGCCCAGGGCGCGAUCCUGGAGACCCGGGAUCAAAUCCCACGUCGGGCUCCCGGUGCAUGGAGCCUGCUUCUCCCUCUGCCUGUGUCUCUGCCUCUCUCUCUCUCUGUGUGACUAUCAUAAAUAAAUAAAAAUUAAAAAAAAACAUAAAAAUUUGCAUUUGGUUUGGAAAAAUAAGUAUAAGCUCAUAACAUGAUCUUUUAGAAAAAAACAAACAAACAGAGAAGGAGCCUAGGAUCAAAGACAAAGCAGUCGUGAUGAGCACACACACCACUCCCCACUCCCAGUCCCCAGACUGUGGUCUCCAGAAGCAACUUUUUACUGAAAGGAACCAGGGCUCUUGGAGGAAUGGCUGCUCUGGGGGCAGACACGGUACAAGGUGAUCCUGAGACACCCAUGUCAUGGCCAAAAAUAGGGACAUCGCCAAGACCAAGGGGCUGUGUCCAGGAGCCAGCCUGGAGGAGCCCCACAGGGAAGACAGGACUGACGCACGACCACCAAAAAAAUGGCUGUAUUUGGAACAAAGCAAGUGCGCGAAGCUGUGAGUGUGUAAUGGCAGUAAAACAGAAGAAGGUCUGACUGAUCUCCUUGUAGGUUCACAAUUAUUCUGAAAAUUUAUAAAAAGAAGGCAUCAUUUCACAUAUCCAGUUCUCAAGUAUACUUUCUUCUGCAGACUGUUUUACACGUUAGUAAAUAGUGACAGAGGAAUUCUAGCUAACCAACGCAGGACAAUCAAAAUAGAAAACCACCAUUUGCAAUUGUCAGGAGUUAGGGUGUCAGGGCCAGGGUCCCCAGCAAGAAAACAUGGAGUCAGGACAGGUGAAAUAAAAUAGCAGCACUGACAUCCUUUUCGCAGCUUAGACAGGACCCCACUGAC
rnacentral:lncRNA from 1 species